rnacentral:misc_RNA from 1 species
GAUGAAGAACGUAGCGAAAUGCGAUACGUAAUGUGAAUUGCAGAAUUCCGUGAAUCAUCGAAUCUUUGAACGCACAUUGCGCCUUUGGGUUAUUCCCAAAGGCAUGCCUGUCUGAGUGUCAUUACAUUCUUCUUAAAUCUAACUUUUUGUUAUGGUUUAAGGUGUUGAACUAUAAUCGCGAAAGCAGAUUUGGUUUUAAAUUUAAAGGUAGAUUAUGGAGAUGCUUCAGCAAUUCGUUAAGCACGCAUAUUCAUAUUUGAACGUAAUAGGUUUUACCAACUCGUUCAAGUUCAUUGAUUGUGUUGUGUGAGUUGCUAUAGUAAGCAUUAUCGAACUAAUCCUUAAUGUCUUUCGAGACUACAUUCAUUUGAAUGUACUCCUUUGUUUGACCUCAGAUCAGGUAGGACUACGCGCUGAACUUAAGCAUAUCAAUAAGCGGAGGA